CUCACUAAAAACCAGGGGUUUCGUGCAUGACGUAUUUUUGGGGGCGGAGUUGUGGGAAGGCUGUUGUCGUAAGGGGAGGGACUUGAAUAGGGUCAAGGAGCAUGCGCAGAGAGGAACCCGCACAAUUCAAAAGGCUGGUGUGAAUCUGCUGCCGAAAAAAGAAACCGCUGGAGCAAGAAAGGUGGCGAUCGUGUGAACAGUCAAUCAUGAAGAUCCAUCAGAACUUCUUCUGUACUGUCAAGAACACACUCAAGUGCCUUCUUGUCUUUUAGAGAAAAGUUGGUAAAAUGUCCAUGCAGUUUUUCCUCUUAAUUCUGAUACCAGCUCCACAGUAACCGAAUACUAGUCUUUAUUGCAAGUGAAAAACUUGCUGCAUCGUAAACCUUAGACUGCAAUGUACAGGGCCAUCUCACAAAGUUACUAUUUCAGUAAUUCAGUUAAAAAUGUGAAACUCGUAUAUUAUAAAGAUAUAUUACACACAAAGUGAUCUAUAUUUUAAGCGUGUGAAAUGAAAACCUAAAAAUCAGUGAAUCAGAAAAUUAGAAUAUUAUAUAAGACCAAUUGGUACUUUCUGCAGUGUGGGAAGUGUGCCAAGUCCUGCUGGAAAAUGAAAUCUGCAUCUCCAUAAAAGUUGUCAGCAGAGGGAAGAAGCAUGAAGUGCUGUAAGAUUUUGGGGGGAAACAAAACUGCACCGACUUUAGACUUGAUAAUAAAACACAGUGGAUCAACACCAGCAGAUGACAGACAUGUCUCUCCAACCAUCACUGAUCAUCAGUAAAUUUUACAUUUUAUUUGGAAAUCAAGGGAGAGGAGUCUGGAGGAAGAGUGGAGAGACACACAGUCCAAACUGCAUGAGGUCUAGUGUGAAGUUUCCACCAAUCAGUGAUGGUUUGGAGAGACAUGUCUGUCAUCUGCUGGUGUUGAUCAACUGUGUUUUAUUAUCAAGUCUAAAGUCAGUGCAGUUUUGUUUUCCCACAAAAUAUUACAACACUUCAUGCUUCCCUCUGCUGACAGCUUUUAUGAAGAUGAAGAUUUCAUUUUCCAGCAGGACUUGGCACACUGCCCACACUGCAGAAAGUACCAAUUGGUUUUAAAUAAUAUUCUAAUUUUCUGAUGCACUGAUUUUUGGGUUUUCAUUGGCUGUAAGCUUCAUAAUCAUCAACAAUAAAAUAAAUAAAUGCUUAAAAUAGAUCACUGUGUUUAAUACAUCUAUAUAAUGAGUUUCACAUUUUUAACCAAAUUACUAAAAUAAAGUAACUUUUCAAAGAUAUUACAAUUAUUUGAGGUGGCCCUGUACACUCUAUAGCUAACUUCAAGUAAUAAUUUUUGUACACAGUACUUUUGAUGUUUGAUAGUGCACAUGUAAAAUGUUUAAAAUAAAGUGUCUUUCUUUUAA